AUGGCGAGAAGGGCACUCCCGUUCCCAUCCCGAACACGGUAGUUAAGCUUCUCUGCGCCAAUGGUAGUUGGGGGCUUCCCCCUGCGAGAGUAGGUCGCUGCCGGGC
rnacentral:rRNA from 1 species